rnacentral:rRNA from 1 species
CCUACGGGGGGCUGCAGUGAGGAAUAUUGGUCAAUGGGCGGGAGGCUGAACCAGCCAAGUCGCGUGAGGGACGACGGUCCUAUGGAUUGUAAACCUCUUUUGUCGGGGAACAAAGGCGCCCACGGGUGGGCGGAUGAGUGUACCCGAAGAAAAAGCAUCGGCUAACUCCGUGCCAGCAGCCGCGGUAAUACGGAGGAUGCGAGCGUUAUCCGGAUUUAUUGGGUUUAAAGGGUGCGUAGGCGGACAGUCAAGUCAGCGGUAAAAUUGGGGUACUCAACGCCGUACAGCCGUUGAAACUGGCAGUCUUGAGUGGGCGAGAAGUAUGCGGAAUGCGUGGUGUAGCGGUGAAAUGCAUAGAUAUCACGCAGAACUCCGAUUGCGAAGGCAGCAUACCGGCGCCCGACUGACGCUGAGGCACGAAAGCGUGGGUAUCGAACAGGAUUAGAUACCCGGGUAGUC